AGCUGUGCUAGCAGCUAGUUUUACUGUUUACACUUUACACUUUACAGUACUUACUUGCGAUUUGCGAAUAUGCGUCUAGCUUUUAAAACUGGAUUCUUCCCGUUCUUCCCAUUUUUUGGGUUUCCGUUGAUGUCACAGUAUGUCUCUACGAGUGGAUAUCACUUUGCAGCCUGCAGAUGUGUUUGCGUCGAGAGCUGCGACUGUUCCAGAGAACCAGUUGGCCGAAGUGUAUGACGAGGUUCCUAUUGAAGUUUGCUUUCCUGGAAAGUUAAUCCUUGCAGUCAGGCUGGGAUAAAUUCACCGCUGAAAUGGUGGAAAAGAUUAAAAAGUUGCUGCGCGCAAGGACGUUACGCUUGCAGUGGAUUCGGACGAGAUUGAUAUUGAAGGAAAGACUUUUUUGUGGGCGUGCUGAAAAUGAAGAACGAUAAAGUUGAGGUUUGUGUAAAAUUAAACAGGUUAAAGUUUUUCGAAAUUUGAAAAUCAAUUUUCAGUUUUUAUAAGUAUUUAUAAGCUUACUAAAUUUGUGAUUAAAUUAUGGUUUAAGUGUUGUUCCGAUAAAAGAUAAUUUGCACAAAGUCAAGUGUGCUGCGUGAGUAGUACCACGGUUUUUCCGUUUACUUUUUUU